AGUAACUUCCGUUAGUAAUCUUAUCAUGCGCAAGAAAAGUAAAAUGUAUGAGUUUCUGAAGUGAAAGUCCAAGGAAGAGAAGACAACGAGAAGUAGCUUUUUUGUCUGUUUCAUGGUUUAUAGGCCUACUGGGGAAACUCGCCAUGUAAAAAAACGAGUAACGCAUCCAGCUUGGUACCUCUAUGGUGAUGUGGAAAUCCGAGCAUUGUUAAUAAAGAAAUUAAUUCUG